rnacentral:rRNA from 1 species
UGGGGAAUAUUGGACAAUGGAGGAAACUCUGAUCCAGCAAUUCUGUGUGUGUGAAGAAGGUUUUAGGACUGUACAACACUUUUAGUAGGGAAGAAAAAAAUGACGGUACCUACAGAAGAAGCAACGGCUAAAUACGUGCCAGCAGCCGCGGUAAUACGUAUGUUGCGAGCGUUAUCCGGAAUUAUUGGGCUUAAAGGGCAUCUAGGCGGUAAGACAAGUUGAAGGUGAAAACCUGUGGCUCAACCAUAGGCUUGCCUACAAAACUGUUGAACUAGAGUACUGGAAAGGUGGGUGGAACUACACGAGUAGAGGUGAAAUUCGUAGAUAUGUGUAGGAAUGCCGAUGAUGAAGAUAACUCACUGGACAGAAACUGACGCUGAAGUGCGAAAGCUAGGGGAGCAAACAGG